CGGGAGGCGGUCGGAGCCCAGCGGAGAAAGGAAGCAAGCUUGAUAGUAAACCUUCGGGGAGCCACCCUGGGAGUUUUAGGCAGCAUUUUCCUUUCCUUGUUUUUUUAUUCCCCAAACCCCAUCUCCCCUACCUCCCUGAACGAACGGGUUAGAGAAAAUGCAACAAUUCGAAGUCUGUGAGAACAAAGUGGCUCAAGUAAACCAACUCGUGGUGGUAGCUAAAAGGUUUUUGGCUGCAAAGAAACUAAUCCUCCUCCGGAUCAGUGUCCAGGAACUUAGAAGAAAUGGUGAUAUUAGGACUUCAGUACUUCUGGAAAAAAAAAAUGCAAAUGGUUUAGCCAGGAUCUUUCCUGUCUGAUUCGUCACUAUUAUUAUAUCUGAUGAUGCGAAUGGUUGGAGCGAUUCAAUCUUAAGUCAUUAAUGAGCUAUUUUAUAAACACCACUGUCUGAAGAUCUUCAUUUACAUUUUGCGAAGGAUCACUUCGCUAACCUCACAUGCUUAUGUCAACAGCAUGAUUAUGGGACUUCAGUCACACUCUUAUAAACAACACAGCGGUAUUGUUAAUGGGUUAAUAUUUUAUAAAGUGUAAAUAUUUUAUUAUGUUUUGAAGGGAACUAUUGAUUCUAAAUUAUUAAACCCCUGAGAAGGGUGAUUUAAAUAAAGUAUACAAUUAA